CAAUAGCGUAUAUUAAAGUUGUUGCAGUUAAAAAAGCUCGUAGUUGGAUUUCUGGCAUGAUGCGCCUGGCCCGCCUCAAUUCUGAGUGUGUGUGCGAGUGCGCGUCUGCCAUCCAUUUGCAGAAUGUGCCUACUCUUCAUUUGAGCCGGGUACGUGAUGUAAAUCUUUUACUUUGAGAAAAUUAGAGUGUUUCAGGCAGGCUUUCGCCGGAAUACAUUAGCAUGGAAUAAUGGAAAAGGACUUCAACCUCUUCUGUUGGUCUGAGAGGCUGGUAGUAAUGAUUAAUAGGGAUAGUUGGGGGCAUUAGUACUUAACUGUCAGAGGUGGAAUUCUCGGAUUUGUUAAAGACUAACUUAUGUCGAAAGCAUUUGCCAAGGAUGUUUUCAUUAAUCAAGAACGAAAGUUAGGGGAUCAAAGACGAUCAGAUACCAU
rnacentral:rRNA from 1 species